GCAUCGCCGUCGAUCUCUAUUUUUUAGUAGAAGAUAGAAGUCAGAAAACAAUGAAGGCCGCCCGAAAGUCCGACGAACACUGAUGGCCAAUGGGUGAAGACAAGACACCCUUGUCGGUAAUGGGAGAAGACGAAGACGGCGAUGGCCGACGGACGGACAAGGACCACGGUCCAUAGCCAGGGGCUAGGGCAUCGAAUGGAAAAUUUGGG
rnacentral:lncRNA from 1 species